AUGGCAGAUAGGGAGACACACACACACAGUCUUACACACAACCUAUAGAAUGGUUGUGUUAUUACAGAGCCAUAGACAGGAUUAGAGAGAGAGAAGCUGAGGCAGAGCAGAGCAGGUGGGACAGAGGAUAAAGUGAGGUAGAGCAGAGCAGGUGGGACAGAGGAUAAAGUGAGGUAGAGCAGAGCAGGUGGGACAGAGGAUAAAGUGAGGUAGAGCAGAGCAGGUGGGACAGAGGAUAAAGUGAGGUAGAGCAGAGCAGGUGGGACAGAGGAUAAAGUGAGGUAGAGCAGAGCAGGUGGGACAGAGGAUAAAGUGAGGCAGAGCAGAGCAGGUGGGACAGAGGAUAAAGUGAGGUAGAGCAGAGCAGGUGGGACAGAGGAUAAAGUGAGGCAGAGCAGAGCAGGUGGGACAGAGGAUAAAGUGAGGCAGAGCAGAGCAGGUGGGACAGAGGAUAAAGUGAGGUAGAGCAGAGCAGGUGGGACAGAGGAUAAA